AACGAACGCUGGCGGCAUGCCUAACACAUGCAAGUCGAACGAGACCUUCGGGUCUAGUGGCGCACGGGUGCGUAACGCGUGGGAACCUGCCCUUAGGUUCGGAAUAACUCCCCGAAAGGGGUGCUAAUACCGGCUAAUGUCUUCGGACCAAAGAUUUAUCGCCUUUGGAUGGGCCCGCGUUGGAUUAGCUCGUUGGUAGGGUAAAAGCCUACCAAGGCGACGAUCCAUAGCUGGUCUGAGAGGAUGAUCAGCCACACUGGGACUGAGACACGGCCCAGACUCCUACGGGAGGCAGCAGUGGGGAAUAUUGGACAAUGGGCGAAAGCCUGAUCCAGCAAUGCCGCGUGAGUGAUGAAGGCCUUAGGGUUGUAAAGCUCUUUUACCCGGGAUGAUAAUGACAGUACCGGGAGAAUAAGCUCCGGCUAACUCCGUG
rnacentral:rRNA from 1 species